UGCCUCGUGGUGUAACGGUAGCACGACAGAUUCUGACUCUGUUUGUUAAGGUUCGAAUCCUUACGAGGCAGCCA
rnacentral:tRNA from 2 species